rnacentral:misc_RNA from 1 species
GAUGAAAACGUAGCGAAAUGCGAUACUUGGUGUGAAUUGCAGAAUCCCGUGAACCAUCGAGUCUUUGAACGCAAGUUGCGCCCGAAGCCACUAGGCCGAGGGCACGCCUGCCUGGGCGUCACACGUCGUUGCCCCCCCAUCUACUCCUUCGGGAUUGCGGGGGGGCGGAUGAUGGCCUCCCGUGCGCCUAGCCGCGCGGUUGGCAUAAAUACCAAGUCCUCGGCGACGCACGCCACGACAAUCGGUGGUUGCGAAACCUCGGUUGCCCGUCGUGUGCGUUCGUCGCGCAUCGAGGGCUCGAAAAAAUGCUCGGCUUCGGCUCGGCUUUCAACGCGACCCCAGGUCAGGCGGGGUUACCCGCUGAAUUUAAGCAUAUCAAUAAGCGGAGGA